rnacentral:rRNA from 1 species
UACGUAGGUGGCAAGCGUUGUCCGGAAUUAUUGGGCGUAAAGCGCAUGUAGGCGGCGGUUUAAGUCUGUCGUAAAACUGCGGGGCUCAGCCCCUAUGGCGAUGGAGACUGGAUUGCUUGAGUGCAGGAGAGGAAAGGGGAACUCCCAGUGUAGCGGUGAAAUACGUAGAUAUUGGGAAGAACACCGGUGGCGAAGGCGCCUUUCUGGACUGUGUCUGACGCUGAGAUGCGAAAGCCAGGGUAGCGAACGG